AUGCAUUGUGGAAUCAUACUUCCACUAGACAACUGAAGCCAAGACAAAUAUCGCCUCACGAAAUAUGCCAAAUUUAAGUAAAUAAAAAUAGUGAGCAUAUUUCAGACCUCAGCCAGCAGCAAAAGCAAUUAAGAAAACAGUGUACACUGCUGGAACUUUUGGACAUUUUAGAAACCAACAAUGAUGAAAUACCAAACAGUGAUGUGGAUGUAACAUCUCAUCCACCUCUAAAUUAAGUUGAUGAAGUAACAGAUGGAGAUUCUGGUGCAAAGGAAAAUCCAAGUGUAGAUACAUUACCAGACCCUCCAGCAGUACAACAACAACAACAACAACAAAAUGACUAUCAAGGCAAAAAGUUUAAAAGCACAAGAAAAAAUAUAACUGGAAUAGUGGAGAAAUAGGGCACAGUGGACUCUUUCAUAAAGAAAUAGCAGACAGUUCAGCAGAGCGAGCAAUUAACUUAGGGAAUGAAAAAGUGAGAAACUACUGGGAGACACAAUGACAACAAUUUCAAAAGGAGUGCAUUAUCACCCAGUGAAACCUAAAAUAGCAUUAUCUCCUUAGUUUACAAAUUGGAACAGAAGCAAUCUAUUCAUAACAAUGAUACACAGACGCACUUACAUUACGGCAAAUUUCCAACCUGUCUGUUCCAAGAAGGAUUGAAGGAGUAUCCUUUACCUAAUUUAUGCAACGAAGAAGAGGACACAAACCAACUAUUAUUCUCGUGUACAAGAACCAACACAUUACAAAAGUCUUAUCUGAGUAUUGGUUAAUGCAAUGGUUCCCCCCCUUCCAGCAUCAGCUGCAGUAUUG